rnacentral:rRNA from 1 species
CACGUAGGGGGCGAGCGUUGUCCGGAUUUAUUGGGCAUAAAGAGCUCGUAGGCGGCUCAGUAAGUCAGGUGUGAAAACUCCAGGCUCAACCUGGAGACGCCACUUGAUACUGCUGUGGCUAGAGUCCGGUAGGGGAGCAUGGAAUUCCUGGUGUAGCGGUGAAAUGCGCAGAUAUCAGGAGGAACACCAGUGGCGAAGGCGGUGCUCUGGGCCGGAACUGACGCUGAGGAGCGAAAGCGUGGGGAGCAAACAGG